UACAGAGGGUGCAAGCGUUAAUCGGAGUUACUGGGCGUAAAGGGCGCGUAGGCGGUUUGAUAAGUGAGAUGUGAAAGCCCUGGGCUUAACCUAGGAACUGCAUCUUAUACUGUUAGACUAGAGUAUUGUAGAGGGUAGUGGAAUUUCCGGUGUAGCGGUGAAAUGCGUAGAGAUCGGAAGGAACACCAGUGGCGAAGGCGGCUACCUGGACAAAUACUGACGCUGAGGCGCGAGAGCGUGGGGAGCAAACAGG
rnacentral:rRNA from 1 species